GCUUAGGGCUUGCUUUGGAGCAAACCCUAGAGGUACACAGGACAGCGGGCCUUCGUCGAUGGAUCGCGGCAAGGGCAUAGCGCCCUAGCAGUUGGUUGAUAGCUUUACCUUCCCUACUUGCAUUAGCUCUACCCUGUACUUUUGGUUAUACAUUUUGAGAGUAGAUGUUGUAUAGGGUGAGGUUUUGGAGAGCUUAUGAUGUAUAUUCAUUUUGGAUAAAGAACGCAAGUUGUAUCAAAGUUUAAAGUUAAAUGAAAUCGAAAGAGGUUAAAUGUUUCAA